rnacentral:rRNA from 1 species
CCUACGGGUGGCAGCAGUGAGGAAUAUUGGUCAAUGGCCGGGAGGCUGAACCAGCCAAGUCGCGUGAGGGAAGACGGCCCUACGGGUUGUAAACCUCUUUUGUCAGGGAGCAAGGUGCAGGUCGGGACCUGCUGUGAGAGUACCUGAAGAAAAAGCAUCGGCUAACUCCGUGCCAGCAGCCGCGGUAAUACGGAGGAUGCGAGCGUUAUCCGGAUUUAUUGGGUUUAAAGGGUGCGCAGGCGGAGGCACAAGUCAGCGGUAAAAGCCCGGGGCUCAACCCCGGCCCGCCGUUGAAACUGGCAGUCUCGAGUUGGAGAGAAGUAUGCGGAAUGCGCGGUGUAGCGGUGAAAUGCAUAGAUAUCGCGCAGAACUCCGAUUGCGAAGGCAGCAUGCCGGCUCCACACUGACGCUGAGGCACGAAAGCGUGGGUAUCGAACAGGAUUAGAUACCCCAGUAGUC